rnacentral:rRNA from 1 species
GACGAACGCUGGCGGCGUGCUUAACACAUGCAAGUCGAACGGAAAGGCCCUGCUUUUGUGGGGUGCUCGAGUGGCGGACGGGUGAGUAACACGUGAGUAACCUGCCCUUGACUUUGGGAUAACUUCAGGAAACUGGGGCUAAUACCGGAUAGGAGCUCCUGCUGCACGGUGGGGGUUGGAAAGUUUCGGCGGUUGGGGAUGGACUCGCGGCUUAUCAGCUUGUUGGUGGGGUAGUGGCUUACCAAGGCUUUGACGGGUAGCCGGCCUGAGAGGGUGACCGGCCACAUUGGGACUGAGAUACGGCCCAGACUCCUACGGGAGGCAGCAGUGGGGAAUAUUGCACAAUGGGCGGAAGCCUGAUGCAGCAACGCCGCGUGCGGGAUGACGGCCUUCGGGUUGUAAACCGCUUUCGCCUGUGACGAAGCGUGAGUGACGGUAAUGGGUAAAGAAGCACCGGCUAACUACGUG